rnacentral:tRNA from 1 species
UUUAUAUAGUUUAACAAAAACAUUACAUUUUCAAUGUAAAAAUAAGCAAUUUUUAUAAAUAC